CUGUGUGUGUGUCUGUGUCUGUCUGUGAGCAAGAAAGAAGCCACUCAAGCACAGGUGUGAGAGAUUUUCCACCAACAAAGAAAUCACCUGUUCACAAUGUAUCAACUCUAGAAGCCAGCUGCCUAAAUUUAUAAAAUGUAUCAAAUACACAGUCCAUAAAGUAACACCUCAAUGCUGGAGAUCACGCAGGGAGGCCUUUUGUUUCUAAGGGUCUGUGUGUGGAGAGACUCGAGGAAAAGAUGCUUUGGACCACCACUUAAGGGCAUUUCCCCCAAAUCCUAGCUGGUCAGUUGAGCCAUGCGUGAUUAUCAGGAAUACUUUAGCUUAAGACCAAGUGCUAAGCUGGCCAGAACCUCCUCACUCCCUUUCCCCAGACCAUCACAGGAGCCACCUUCAGGAGAGGACACCUGGAACAUGGAGGAACAAAUCUGACUCUGUAUUAGAUCUGUUC